rnacentral:misc_RNA from 1 species
GGUCUUACAUCCUCAGUGCCAGUGCCAACCCACCACCGGCCCACUAAACAGGCUGGCACCCUCUACCCACCACCACAACUACCACAACCUCUACCACCACAACCUUUCCCCACCUGAGUCACUUUCCUGCCCCCUACACAACUACCCCCCCUCCUUCUUGUGCUGUGUCGCUAAGUUCGUCUCGAAAUUGGUGUGAGUUUUAACCCGGCCGGAAAAUUGGUCCUAUUACGGCAGCCAUUUAGUGGAAAGUGUAGUUGUGUGAGGGUCUGAGGUCCUGAGGAUGGACGGCCGGUGUGUGUGUGUGUGUAUGUGAUUCAGGACCGCUAGCAGCAACCUCGGGGCCCCUGGGAGCCAUUAAGGGUUUCUGCCUGGAGACUUAAACUGGUCCUGGGCUGAGGAGUUCAAGAGGCACAUUUUAAGCUGAUGCAAGGGCUCACUUGGUGUAUCCAAGGGCCCGUAGUAGCUUCUAGGGCCCACUCGCAGCCUCAGGGGGCUCACUGAGAAGCUUCAGGAGAACUUAAAGAACUCCCCUGUGUCCGCUAGAAGCUGUGAGUACAAGCUUAGAGCCUGGGGAAGCUUCAAGAUCCUUCCACGUCUUCAAAGAUCUUUUAAGAGGUCUUUGUGGUCCUCCCAGUGAGUCUUAAGGGUCACUAGAAGCCUUUAAGAGGAUCCUUGAGGUCUCAGUGGCCUCCCUAAGGACCAUUGAGAGCUACAAAAGACCCUCUAAGGCGCUCCAAAGACCUUCACCUCUCCUCCAUCGUCACCGGGACAGCUGGACCGUCUGCUGAGACCGUCUGGUUCAAUCUUCUCCACGUCGACUUCACCACCGGCGAGGCUACAAACUCGGUGGUCAAGAUGGCAACGUGGACCACUAGGCCAGCUGUUCGGGGUACAGAGACCAUCUGGGGCCCUGGCUCACCUCUAGAAUCACCUAGCUCGUCCCUAGCAUCACCUAGCUCUCCCCUAGGGGCAGCAGCACCUAGCAGCACGCCCAGCACACCUCCAAUGUCUCCCUCCUGGGUCGCCAAUCCCUCCCAUCCUCCCGCCCACAUGACCGGUGGUGACUCUGAUGAUGACUUUGACGAUGACCUGGACGAUAGUGGCUACGAUGACUGGCUGGAUUCGCAGUUGGCUGGCACUGGCGAGAUGACAGUGGUGGAGCGGCUACGGUACCUGCUGGACACGGGGCAGUUUGCUGACGUCAACAUCAGGGUCGGUCAGGGCCAGAACGUGACUGUCUUCAAGGCACACCGGCUCCUGCUGGCCACGGCGAGUCAGCCACUUUAUCGUCUCGUGUACCAGGUGUGUCCGAACCCUGGCCCUAAUGAGGUCACCACCAUCAGGGUCACCGAUAUGAACCCUAAGGACUUCGAGCAUAUCCUUAAGUACAUCUACACAGAUCACAUCGACUGUAAGAAAAUCAGUGUGGCGUUCGAACUCCUGAGAGCCAGCAGGAAGUGGGGUCUGGCCGGCCUGGGCAUCAAGUCCCUCACAUACCUCGAAGAAUUUGUCGAUAACUUCGAACCCAAGACGGAUGACGUCAACACUAACCUCUUUGAGCUCUUGGUGCUGUCUGAGGAGACCCUGAACGAGAUGAGUGAGAAAUGUUGGCAGAUCUUAGUCAAACACGCCACCGAGGUCAUCCCAUGUGAAGGUUACCUCAACCUGAGCCAGGUCAUGGCCAAGAAGGUCAUCUGCCACAAAGAUAUCAAGUUCGAGAACCAGCUUAAGCUCUUCGAGGCUAUCAGGGAUUGGGGUCUCCGUUACAUCCAAAAUCACAAUCUCAAGCUGACCCAUCUGGGCAAUGUGGUGGAGGAACUCAUUAAGGUCAUCGACUUUGACCGGAUCUCUGACGCUGACUUUAUCAACACCGUGUUGACGUCCGAGUGUCUGGGCAAGGCGGAGGUGAUCGCCUUCUUCAUGACACAUGGGCUGGAGAUCCCCAGGAACCUGGACUUCAACAACAAUAAACAGCUUCCCUUUUGGCUGUGGUUCUGUGCCACCUCAGACAUGGAGGGGAAGCCGUCGACACGAGGACCUCCCUCACCUUCUUCCUGCAGCAGCACCAGCAAGAAGUCCUCCAACAAGCUCUCCAGCCUGGCUACUGUCAAUGAGACCUUAUCCAAAAUCUGUUCGCUGACUCAGAACGGCUCAGUGCUGGAGUUCAACAAGGUGUGCCGCUUCAGGAAAGGCUACAGGUGUCCACAAAAAGAGAUCUACCAGGAACAAGAGCUGAGGUUCCGGGUAGACAAGAACAUCAAGUUACUAGGCGUCGGGUUCGGGUUUCUCUUCAGCUGUACAGACAUGGGCAUCAGCGUACACUGUCAGGGACCUUGGGAGACCCGCCAGUGGACCGACAUCGCCCAGUCUUACUGCCGAGUGUCAGGAGAGAAACAAGAGACGGCUGACGUGCGGCUGAUGUUCUUCCACCCAGUCAGGAUAGAAGCUAACCAGAGCUACAAGGUUAUGGUGAAGACGGUGAGGAUGAGUCAGGGGAGCUCUGAGGUGGAGUUGUGGGGCGGCACUGGUGGACUCUACUGUGUGGAGACGGAGGACGCCGCGUUCCACUUCAUCAAGGCGGCGGUGGACCCCAACACUAGCGUGGAGGAGAGUGACGGCGACACUAAACCCGGCAUCAUCACUGAGCUGCUCUACCAGAUGGACACCGGGGAGAACACCACACCUACCACCGGGGCUCCCAGACGGCGACGACCACCUUCUGAAGUAGAGGAGGUCGAGGAGAGUUCUUCCCCACGUCGACGCCGCCCAGAGCCUCCAGAAGAGCAGAAGCCAGUACAGAGCUCCCCCAUGAGGAGGCGUACGGGAGCGGAGGCCUCUCUAAAGGUGCCGGAGAUCCCCUAUGUGAGGAAAAGGUCUCCUCCAGCUGAUGAUCAGAAGACCCCAGAAGCUCCACCACUAUGCAGGAGACGCGAGAGCACCGAGACGUCCUCCAGGAAGACCUCAGCGGAAGAGUACAAGCCGGAGAGUUUCUCCACUAACAGGUGGAGAACGAGGACCAGGGAGACCGAGACCGAAUACAAGAAGUCGCCGGUGGAGGAGUACAAACCUUCAAGCUUCUCCACUAACAGGUGGAUCUCCAGACCGAAGGAGGACAAGACAGGCACCGAGAAGACAACCUCCGACACCUCGUCUUACACCAGCCAGAAGAAAACGACGGAAGAAUAUAAACCUGAAAGCUUCACCUCCAACAGAUGGAGGACGAGAAGCAAAGAGGAAGGCACCGAUACUAAAAAGACUCUCGACGUCAGCCGUAAGGCGUCUACUGAGGAAACCAAGCCGGAGACUGAUAGAUGGAGAAGUAAACCACAGGAGGAGAAGAAAGACACGCCGUUUGGUGUGCGGAGAUACUCCAAAUCUGAUGAAUCGACAGUCACACACCCGUUCAUGCGACGACGCGAGUCCAAGGACACGAACGCAGAAAUACCCUUCUACCUCCGUCCACGACCGUCGCAGUCGGAGGAGACGAAAACGACGACAGGCAGCGCUUACAGCAGGAGCAGAUGGGGGUCGUCCGCAACCAACUCCAUCGCUGCCAAGGAAGAUAAGCCCUCGACAGACACAACAUCACGUAGCAGGUUCCUCCGUUCCAGCGACAGUAUUAGUUCUCCCUCACUCCGUUCCACCGGGUCCUCCACCCUGUUCUCCCGUUACGGGUCUGCUCGAGACACCCCCCUGUCCCGGACGCGUGAUACGUCCCUCUCCCGUUACGGAGGCUCCAGCGGUAGCAGUUACCUCAGCAGCAGAUAUAGGUAAACACAAGAGGAUGCCAGGUGUGUGUUAACUAUGUAGACACUUCCCUCACGUGAGAGAUAACUAUGUAGACACUU